rnacentral:rRNA from 1 species
GAAACCGUUUAGGGGUAAACCUGAGAAACCCGAAAGGUCGAAGGAAGAAAUUCAUUCGUGCCCGAUAAGGUUAUUAUGCGAUAUUUUUGGUGUCGAAAUUUGAUUUUUUUUGAAUUUUGCCCUAUCGUAUUAAUAUAUGUACCUUGUUGGACGCGUGCACUUUUCUUCUGGUAGGACGUUGCGAUCCGUUGGAUGUUGAUUUACGAUACAGAUGGUAGCCCAUUUUUGUUUAACUUUCGUGGUUAUUACUUGAAUGGACCUUUGUUAUCUAAUCAACUAGUUCGACGGUAUCACUUAAUGGUUUUGGGACGCUGAUUUAUUUAAGCGUUCGGCUUGUAACAAGCACGUUAAAUGUUUUGGUGUUACGGACCUAGUGCCGUACCUGAUCCUUAACGUCUGUUGGUUACUUUGUCUCGAACUGUUCCCAUAUUUUUUUUUUCGGAAAAAAAUAACCAAUCAGCAACGAUAUAGCUUUGGGUACUUUCAGGACCCGUCUUGAAACACGGACCAAGGAGUCUAGCAUGUACGCAAGUCAUUGGGAAUUACAAAACCUAAAGGCGUAAUGAAAGUAAAUGUUAAUCUUUACGGUUAACAAUGGGAAGAUAAGUAUAUAUAUUUAUUAUGUAUAUAUUUCGCAUUCCUAGGGCGUCUCAUUCUAAUUUAUUAGAAGAGGCGCACCAUGAGCGUACACGCUGGGACCCGAAAGAUGGUGAACUAUGCCUGGUC